rnacentral:tRNA from 1 species
CAAUUGGUGGUCAAGUGGUUAAGACCGCCGGCUCUCAUCUUCGAGUUCCCUGGUUCGAUUCCCGGCUUAGUCA